rnacentral:rRNA from 1 species
CAAAAACAUGUCUUUUUGAUUAUAAUUUAAAGUCUAACCCGCCCAAUGAGGAGUUAAAUGGCCGCGGUAUUUUGACCGUGCAAAGGUAGCAUAAUCAUUAGUUUUUUAAUUGAAAGCUGGUAUGAAUGGUUGGACGAGAAAAUAACUGUCUCGAUUUAAAUUAAAUUAGAAUUUUAUUUAUGAGUAAAAAAGCUCAUAUGAGUUUAAAAGACGAGAAGACCCUAUAGAAUUUAAUAUAUAUAUAUAUAUAUUAUUUUUAGAAUUAAUAAUAAGUUAUAUAUAAUUGUAUUUUGUUGGGGUGAUAGAAAAAUUAAAUUAACUUUUUUUAUAUAAAAACAUUAAUGUAUGAAAAAGUGAUCCGUUAAUUACGAUUAUAAGAUUAAAUUACCUUAGGGAUAACAGCGUAAUUUUUUUUUAGAGUUCUUAUCGAAAAAAGAGUUUGCGACCUCGAUGUUGGAUAAAAAUUAACUUUUGGUGUAGGGGCU